rnacentral:rRNA from 1 species
CCCUUAGAUGUUCUGGGCAGCACGCGCGCUACAAUGGUCUUCGCAAACGGAUGCAUUCUCGAAGGAGAAUGCCAAUCUUGGAAUCUAUGCCUUGGUCGGGACAGUUGCUUGCAAUUUUUCGACUCGAACCAGGAAUUCCUUGUAAUCGUGAUUCAUCACAUCACGAUGAAUACGUCCCUGCCCUUUGUACACACCGCCCGUCGCUACUACCGAUCGGAUUGUCCUGUGAAUUUCUAGGAGAGUUGAGGUCCUGGCGCUUCGGUGUCGGCGACCUCAUGCUUGAAUUGAAUUGAACUGGACUCUCUAGAGGAAGUAAAAGUCGUAACA